rnacentral:rRNA from 1 species
UACGGAGGAUCCAAGCGUUAUCCGGAUUUAUUGGGUUUAAAGGGUGCGUAGGCGGCCUAUUAAGUCAGGGGUGAAAGACGGUAGCUUAACUAUCGUAGUGCCUUUGAUACUGAUGGGCUUGAAUGUACUUGAGGUAGGCGGAAUGUGACAAGUAGCGGUGAAAUGCAUAGAUAUGUCACAGAACACCAAUUGCGAAGGCAGCUUACUAAAGUAUGAUUGACGCUGAGGCACGAAAGCGUGGGGAUCAAACAGG